GGUGUAGACACCAAGUGCAGUGGUAUUUACAACUAAUUUAUCACAACCAGCUACUGAUUCCUUUGUUCCUUCUCCACUCCCAUUGCUUCACUUGACUAGCCUUAA
ensembl:misc_RNA Y_RNA Y RNA